GUUACAGAGGCGCCGGAAUCUGUCCCAGCGCUCCUCGGCAGCGGCCACGACCCACCUCUGCCCAUGGGGCCCUCCAUGUGCGCCCCUGCACCCGGGGACUGAAACUGGCUCUCCCGGGAGAGGCAAGACAUCCAGAAGGACCGACAGCGCGGCACCAGCUGGAGGACUCUGCAGACUCUUGAAGGGAAAGACAGGCAGGGGGCCGGCCAGAUUACCUUCACUUUCCUGGACUUGGAGCGUUCUUCCAAAUAACUUUUUUUUCCUCACUUUGGUGUACCCCGAUUACCGCUGGUUGUGAUUUUCGGCUUUCCGCCUCCUACUGCUAAUUUUUCCGUCCUCUUUGCCGGAAGCAAAGGAAAGGGACGUUUUCCAGCAGCACAAGCCCUUUCCCCCUGCCCCACAGUUUGGAUCGCGCCUUUCGGCAGCGGCUCUUACUUUUAUUUAUUCUAUUUAUUUAUUUAUUGGUUCUCAAGACGCGAAGGGAUGGUAGCGGAGCGAGCCCGCAAAGCGGCCACCGCGGCUGCCCGCGGCCCGGGAGAGCUGGGCGCGCCCGGGACAGUGGUGCUGGCGGCGGCGCGAGCUGAGCGCUGCGCGCGGCUGCCCAGCCCAGGUUCGUGCGGGUUGCUGGCGCUGACCCUCUGCUCGCUGGCCUUCAGCCUGCUCGCCCACUUUCGGACCGCGGAGCUGCAGGCCCGGGUGCUGCGCUUGGAAGCAGAGCGCGGGGAGCAGCAAAUGGAGACGGCUAUUUUGGGACGAGUCAACCAACUGCUGGACGAGAAAUGGAAGCUCCACUCACGGAGGCGCCGGGAGGCCCCGAAGAUGUCCCCAGCAUGUAACUGCCCGCCAGGUAAGGAGCCCCGCUGGCGGGUCGGCCGCGCAUCCCUGGCACACAUGCC
rnacentral:lncRNA from 1 species